GGAUCCACAGCUGCCGCUUAACAGCGCCGGAGCUUAUCUCGGUCUCACAAACGCCUCCCUGGAUGGAGACUCCAGGAACCAUUUCCUGGCCGUGGAGUUCGACACCUUUCAGGACAGCAGCGCUGGAGAUCCCGCACGCGACCAUAUUGGAGUGAACAUAAAUGGCAUCCGGUCAGUCGAUGUCUUCAAACUGGAAGGUGAACUCACAAACCUUCUUCGUAGCAAUUCCACGCUCACUGCUUGGGUUGAGUAUGAAAGCUCGCAGCAGCUGCUUGAAAUCAGAGUCAGCACUCUGUCUCAGAGACCACGUCUUCCCCUCCUGAAAUACCAGGUAGAACUCGCAGGAAUUGUCCAAGAAAAAAUGUACGUCGGCUUCUCUGCAGCCACAAGCCUCAAUUACGAGCUUCACAAGAUCCUGACAUGGAAAUUCUCGACUUACAUAAACAGCAGCGCAACCAACGGCAGCACGGAUCCAAAUUCUGCUUAUCUGCCGGAGAACAAAUCGACAGGAUGCAACAAGUGGAUCUGCAAGAAAAUGGCCAUCAUCCUUUUACCAUCCAUAGGUCUGCUUUUCCUCGCUACGGUAGUGCUGCUCUUUUGUUUCUGGAUAUCAAACGGUAAGCCGAGUAAGAACUUCACAAGCUUGCCGUCAACAGUACAGUACUUCACCUUGAAGCAGCUGAGUGCAGCUACAAGAAGCUUCAGCAGGAAAGAAAUGAUCGGAAGCGGUGGCUUCGGCAAAGUCUACAAAGGUAUUCUUCCGAAAGAUGGCACUCUCGUUGCGGUGAAACUGCUCUCGGAGGCUUCGCUGCAGAGCGAGAGGCAAUUCCUAGCAGAAUUAUCUGUGAUCGGAAGGCUGCAACACAGAAACCUGGUGAGCCUCAAAGGGUGGUGUCAUGACAAGGGGAAGCUCUUACUUGUUUACGAGUUCAUGCCGAAUGGAAGCCUCGACAAGCACCUGUUUUCAGCCGACAUAACUCUUCUUUGGCAGCAGCGUUUCCACAUUCUCAAAGGCGUUGGUGAAGCUCUCACUUUCCUACACGAUGGAUGGGAGCAACGAGUGAUUCACAGGGACGUCAAAGCCGCAAACGUGCUCUUGGACAGCAAGUUCACGGCAAGGCUGGGGGACUUCGGUCUGGCUCGGCUCAUGGAACACAGCAGAGGUCCGCAAACAAUGACAAAGGCUGGAACGACAGGCUACAUAGCUCCGGAGCUGGCUUACACCGGGAGAGCCACCGAGAAGUCAGAUGUGUACAGUUUCGGAAUUCUUGCAUUGGAAGUGGUGUCUGGGCGACGAGCACUCGACUUAGACUUUGAGUUCGACAAAGAAGGAGUCUUGCUGCUUGACUGGAUAUGGCAAAUGCACGAGAGGGGGAGACUGAUGGAGGUGGUGGACGCGAAGCUACAGGAUGACUUCGACGUAGAACAGGUGACCGUGGUGCUUUACAUGGCUUUGCAGUGCUGCCAUCCGGAUGCAAACGACAGACCGACCAUGCGCAAGUGUUGCCAAAUGCUUACCGGCGAUGCUGCCCCUCUAACUCCUCACGCCUCAAGGCCUAUGACUCUGUAUUACUAUCCGGACACGCCAGUAAUCCCUUCCAGCUGCUCAACCUCAGAGUACCCGUUCAGCUCCUCACAACAGCAACCCCUGUAAAAACUCGAUCAAGCAAGCUGUCAAAACGAAAGAUAUCAAAGAAGUUACCUUGUAGAGAGAGCCAGUGAUGAUAAGUCCAAAGCUAAGUCACAAAUACAAAAGCAGCAAUAGAAAAAACAUCGACCAAUGAUUACGUACCAAAAACAUCUGAUUUAUAUAGGGUGUUUUAGAGCAUUUCUGACCAUUGCUCUUUCUCCGAGAAGAGGGAUGAGGAAGGAUACUUUGCUGUUCGCCGCAUUAGCCAUUAUCUCAGUGAGAUGCUCGCUUGCAGGUGAAGCGAUUAGUUUCGAUCUGCGACCAUCAUUCAAACAGAGUCAAGCUCUUCUUAUGCAAGGACAAGCUAGAGCCACAAAUGAAAGUUUGGAGCUUACCGGAGCGUUCGAUUCCUCCAUCAUAAACGCUGGCCGGGUCUUCUAUGCUUUGCCUAUCAGGUUCGUCCACCAGUCUGGAAAAAACAUCCGG
rnacentral:lncRNA from 1 species